ACCGCUCAAGGUCCGUUCGCAUAAAUCGUCUGGCAGGGGCGGGGGAACCACUUCUGGUCUUCGUGAGAAGGCCUUGGGGUUAAGUCGCAAAGCUUCUCUUGAAGCAGCGCGGCCGGAUGACUCCCAUCCGAAUCCGACAGCUCACCUCGCAGGCAUUGGGAGAGGCUAC
rnacentral:sRNA from 1 species